GGUGGGAAUCCUUCCGGCCGAAUAUCUAAGGUUUCCAGAGUAAAGCUGAUCUGCUCUGGGUAAGUCGGGGCCUAAGGAGAGGUCGCAAGACGUAUCCGAUGGACAACAGGUUUAGAUUCCUGUACCGCAUAUAAACAGAACUGUGGGGACGCAUGUGGAAAGCAUAAGCCGGGAAUGGAAAGACCGGUACAAGCGGGGUAGGUGUGUGACAGGCAAAUCCGUCAUAUAAGCCGAAGACGUGAUGUGGAGCGAAAUUAAGUAGUGAAGUAUGUGAGCCAUGUGCCGAGAAAAGCCGCUAUUGUUUUAUAUGUGCCCGUACCGUAAACCGACACAGGUGGAUGAGGAGAGAAUCCUAAGGCCGACGGAAGAAGCAUUGUUAAGGAAUUCGGCAAAAUGACCCCGUAACUUCGGGAGAAGGGGUGCCCACUGAAUGGUGGGCCGCAGAGAAUAGGCUCAAGCAACUGUUUAGCAAAAACACAGGUCUAUGCGAAACCGAAAGGUGAAGUAUAUGGGCUGACGCCUGCCCGGUGCUGGAAGGUUAAGAGGAGAGGUUAGCGCAAGCGAAGCUUUGAAUUUAAGCCCCAGUAAACGGCGGCCGUAACUAUAACGGUCCUAAGGUAGCGAAAUUCCUUGUCGGGUAAGUUCCGACCCGCACGAAAGGCGUAAUGAUUUGAGCACUGUCUCGACAAUGCAUCCGGUGAAAUUGAAGUACCAGUGAAGAUGCUGGUUACCCGCGCCAGGACGGAAAGACCCCAUGGAGCUUUACUCCAGUUUGAUACUGGGAUUCGGUACUGCACGUACAGGAUAGGUGGGAGACUUUGAACUAUGGACGCCAGUCUGUAGGGAGUCGCUGUUGGGAUACCACCCCUGUAGUACUGGGUUUCUAACCAGCUGCCGUGACCCGGCAGUGGGACAAUGUCAGGCGGGGAGUUUGACUGGGGCGGUCGCCUCCGAAAGGGUAUCGGAGGCGCUCAAAGGUUCCCUCAGAAUGGUCGGAAACCAUUUGAAGAGUGCAAAGGCAGAAGGGAGCUUGACUGCGACACCGACGGGUGGAGCAGGUACGAAAGUAGGACUUAGUGAUCCGGUGGUAUAAAGUGGGAUUGCCAUCGCUCAACGGAUAAAAGCUACCCUGGGGAUAACAGGCUUAUCACUCCCAAGAGUUCACAUCGACGGAGUGGUUUGGCACCUCGAUGUCGGCUCAUCGCAUCCUGGGGCUGUAGCAGGUCCCAAGGGUUGGGCUGUUCGCCCAUUAAAGCGGUACGCGAGCUGGGUUCAGAACGUCGUGAGACAGUUCGGUCCCUAUCCGGCGCGGGCGGAGGAUAUUUGAGAGGAGCUGUCCUUAGUACGAGAGGACCGGGAUGGACGGACCACUGGUGUAUCUGUUGUCGACCAACGGCAUGGCAGAGUAGCCAAGUCUGGAAGGGAUAAACGCUGAAGGCAUCUAAGCGUGAAGCCCCCCUCAAGAUGAGAUAUCCCUCCUUCGGGAGUAAGACCCCUUGAAGACUACAAGGUAGAUAGGGCAGAGGUGGAAGUGUGGCAACACAUGGAGCUGACUGUUACUAAUAGGUCGAGGGCUUGAUUAA
rnacentral:rRNA from 1 species